GACGAACGCUGGCGGCGUGCUUAACACAUGCAAGUCGAACGGAAAGGCCCUGCUUUCGUGGGGUGCUCGAGUGGCGAACGGGUGAGGAACACGUGAGUAACCUGCCCUUGACUUUGGGAUAACUUCAGGAAACUGGGGCUAAUACCGGAUAGGAGCUCCUGCUGCAUGGUGGGGGUUGGAAAGUUUCGGCGGUUGGGGAUGGACGCGCGGCUGAUGCGCUUGUUGGUGGGGGAGGGGCUUACCAAGGCUUUGGCGGGUAGCCGGCCUGAGAGGGUGGCCGGCCACAUUGGGACUGCGAUACGGCCCAGACUCCUACGGGAGGCAGCAGUGGGGAAUAUUGCACAAUGGGCGCGAGCCUGAUGCAGCGACGCCGCGUGCGGGAUGACGGCCUUCGGGUUGUAAACCGCUUUCGCCUGUGACGAAGCGUGAGUGACGGUAAUGGGUAAAGAAGCACCGGCUAACUACGUG
rnacentral:rRNA from 1 species